rnacentral:rRNA from 1 species
CAGCCCCACGGGAAUACGUAGGUGGCAAGCGUUGUCCGGAAUUAUUGGGCGUAAAGGGCUCGCAGGCGGUUUCUUAAGUCUGGUGUGAAAGCCCCCGGCUCAACCGGGGAGGGUCAUUGGAAACUGGGAAACUUGAGUGCAGAAGAGGAGAGUGGAAUUCCACGUGUAGCGGUGAAAUGCGUAGAGAUGUGGAGGAACACCAGUGGCGAAGGCGACUCUCUGGUCUGUAACUGACGCUGAGGAGCGAAAGCGUGGGGAGCGAACAGGAUUAGAUACCCGUGUAGUCCCUGUCUCUUAUACA